GAGUUUCCGUAAGAUGAAAAAUAAGGUUCAGCCAAUGAGAAUAAAGUAUAUAUUUUCAAAUACUCUUUAUUAGUGCAACCACACAUGACUGCAACAUUGUCUGUUGAAAUUCGUCUGCCACAGUCGUCGUGCGUAUUAAAAAACUUGAAUUUGAAUAAAAAACAUGGGGCCCAAACCAUCUCCAAAGAAAAGAAAUCCCCAAAGAAAAUAACCGAAAAACUGAAACUAGAAACAAAAGACGUCGAGAGGUUCAUUUUGUGUGUUAAAAAUCAUCCUGUAUUGUAUAAUACUACAUUGCACGAUUACAAAGUUACAAAAGUUA